UUUGUCAGUCGGACGUGACACCCAUCAGUUGAGCGGAAGAAUUGCUUCAGAAACGACAAACCUUGAGUGUAGGAGGGGGGAAUGGAACUUCUGGUGGAGCGGUGAAAUGCGUAGAUAUCAGAAGGAACGCCGGCGGCGAAAGCGAUUCUCUGGCCUAUUAGUCACACUCAGAGUGCGAAAGCCAGGGGAGCAAACGGGAUUAGAUACCCCGGUAGUCCUAGCCGUAAACGAUGGGCAACCCACAGAGGGGUUU
rnacentral:rRNA from 1 species